UGACAGUACUCCUACGGGGAGGCAGCAGUCGGGGGAAUAUUGCACAAUGGGCGCAAGCCUGAUGCAGCCAUGCCGCGUGUGUGAAGAAGGCCUUCGGGUUGUAAAGCACUUUCAGUCGUGAGGAAGGUAGUGUAGUUAAUAGCUGCAUUAUUUGACGUUAGCGACAGAAGAAGCACCGGCUAACUCCGUGCCAGCAGCCGCGGUAAUACGGAGGGUGCGAGCGUUAAUCGGAAUUACUGGGCGUAAAGCGCAUGCAGGUGGUUUGUUAAGUCAGAUGUGAAAGCCCGGGGCUCAACCUCGGAAUAGCAUUUGAAACUGGCAGACUAGAGUACUGUAGAGGGGGGUAGGAAUUUCAGGUGUAGCGGUGAAAUGCGUAGAGAUCUGAAGGAAUACCGGUGGCGAAGGCGGCCCCCUGGACAGAUACUGACACUCAGAUGCGAAAGCGUGGGGAGCAAACAGGAUUAGAUACCCUGGUAG
rnacentral:rRNA from 1 species